GCCUUUGUAGCUCAAUUGGUUAGAGCAUUGCACCGGAAUCGCAGGGCCGCAGGUUCCUGCCAGGGACC